rfam:Hordeum vulgare subsp. vulgare, WGS project CAJW01000000 data, contig: morex_contig_1376778
GUUCAAAAGAGGAAAGGCUUGCGGUGGAUACCUAGGCACCCAGAGACGAGGAAGGGCGGAGCAAGCGACGAAAUGCUUCGGGGGGCUGAAAAUAAGCAUAGAUCCGGAGAUUCCCAAAUAGGUCAACCUUUUAAACUGCUCACGGAACCCAUGAGAAGACCCGCGACACCCG